AGUGAACGCUGGCGGCAGGCCUAACACAUGCAAGUCGAACGAGUGGCGGACGGGUGAGUAAUAUCUGGGAAACUGCCUGUUGGAGGGGGAUAACUUUUGGAAACGGUAGCUAAUACCGCAUACCAUCAGAUGUGCCCAGAUGGGAUUAGCUUGUUGGUGGGGUAACGGCUCACCAAGGCGACGAUCCCUAGCUGGUCUGAGGGGAUGACCAGCCACACUGGAACGGGGACACGGUCCAAACUCCUACGGGAGGCAGCAGUGGGGAAUAUUGCACAAUGGGCGCAAGCGUGAUGCGGCCAUGCCGCGUGUAUGAGGAGGGCCUUCGGGUUGUAAAGUACUUUCAGCGGGGAGGCGUUACCCGAAGAAGAAGCACCGGCUAACUCCGUGCCAGCAGCCGCGGUAAUAC
rnacentral:rRNA from 1 species